AUCCAGCUGACGAGUCCAGAAUAGAAGAAAACACAUGUCCUGGAU
rnacentral:hammerhead_ribozyme from 1 species